AUGGCCGUACCAUGCUGAAUAUACCGGUUCUCGUUAGAUCACCGAAGUCAAGCAUCAUUGGGCGCGGUCAGUACUUGGGUGGGUGACCACCUGGGAACACUGCGUGCCGUU
rnacentral:rRNA from 1 species